rnacentral:lncRNA from 1 species
GUGCCAGCCAACUGUGGCUGCCUGGGACACUCCAUCUUAAGUCCCUGUGCCUCUGCUGUGUGUUACUGAGUGCCUAGGCCGUGCCAGCCUGUAUUCAUCUGUACUAUGACCUGAAGAGGCAGAGGCCAUCAUUGUUGGUCUGGUCUCCACCUGGGGAAACUGAGGUGUCUCUGUGGUGACGAGCAGGGCUUCAUCCAGUGCCUCUGUCCCCACCGAGGGGACUGUGGGAGCCAUGGAGGGUGUGUGAGCAACAGGUGAGACUGGAGCCAGCUGAAAACUGGGAGACCGACCCAGCCAACAAACAAUGUCGGUCUCUGUCCUGGCACCCGCAGGAAACAAGCUCCUACUUCCAGAAAAAGUGCUCCUGGGACUCCAGGAUACCAAGCAUCUGGACGCGGUGGUACAUGCCACCACUUAGGCAGGAGGAUCACUCGAGCCCAGAAGAUCAAGACUAGUGUGAGCAACAAAAUCCUUCCCUGGCACCGGUUCCAAGAGGACCUGGUUCUUAGGCAGCAUCUGUGUCUCUGUUUUGUAAGACACACAGAGUAUCCUUAACCCACUGCAGAUAUUUCCCUGGGUCCAUGGUCAAUCAACACCACCUUUCAGUCUCCAGCCUCUUAACCAGCCCAGGGCUGAGUGUUGUUCAUAGUAUUAAUAUGUUUCUGGCUGGGCUCAGUGGCUCAUGCCUGUAAUCCCGGCACUAUGGGAGGCUGAGGCAGGCGGAGUUCAAGACCAGCCUGGCCAACAUAGUAAAACCCCGUCUCUACUAAAAAUACAAAAAUGAGCCGGGUGUGGUGGUGCGUGUCUAUAAUCCCAGCUACUCGGGAGGCUGAGGCAGGAGAAUUGCUUGAACCUGGGAGGUGGAGGCUACAGUGAGCUGAGAUCAUGCCACUGCACUCCAGCCUGGGCAAGAAAGUGAGACUCCAUCUCAAAACAAAGAAACAAACAAAGUAUUAAUAUGUUCCCCUUGAUCAGUGGGGUGGUUCACCCUUGUAAUCCCAGCACUUUGGGAGGCA